rnacentral:rRNA from 1 species
UACGGGAGGCAGCAGGGGGAAUAUUGCACAAUGGGCGAAAGCCUGAUGCAGCUAUGCCGCGUGUAUGAAGAAGGCCUUAGGGUUGUAAAGUACUUUCAUCGGGGAGGAAAAACAAAACUAAUAAUUUUAUUUCUUGACGUUACCCGAAAAAGAAGCACCGGCUAACUCCGUGCCAGCAGCCGCGGUAAUACGGAGGGUGCUAGCGUUAAUCAGAAUUACUGGGCGUAAAGAGCACGUAGGUGGUUUUUUAAGUCAGAUGUGAAAUCCCUGGGCUUAACCUAGGAACUGCAUUUUGAAACUGAAAUACUAGAGUAUCGUAGAGGGAGGUAGAAUUCUAGGUGUAGCGGUGAAAUGCGUAGAUAUCUGGAGGAAUACCUGUGGCGAAAGCGGCCUCCUAAACGAAUACUGACACUGAGGGUGCGAAAGCGUGGGGAGCAAACAGGGAUUAGAUACC